CUUGAAAAAGGGAGUUCAAGAAGAGCUUCGAAGAAGCUUUCUUGAUGGAGGGGAGUGGCAGACGGGUGAGUAACGCGUGGGAACAUACCCUUAUCUUCGGAACAACUCCGGGAAACUGGAGCUAAUACCGAAUGUGCCCUUAGGGGGAAAGCUUUAUCGGAUAAGGAUUGGCCCGCGUUGGAUUAGCUAGUUGGUGGGGUAAAGGCCUACCAAGGCGACGAUCCAUAGCUGGUCUGAGAGGAUGAUCAGCCACAUUGGGACUGAGACACGGCCCAAACUCCUACGGGAGGCAGUAGUGGGGAAUAUUGGACAAUGGGCGCAAGCCUGAUCCAGCCAUGCCGCGUGAGUGAUGAAGGCCUUAGGGUUGUAAAGCUCUUUCACCGGAGAAGAUAAUGACGGUAUCCGGAGAAGAAGCCCCGGCUAACUUCGUGCCAGCAGCCGCCGCGGUAA
rnacentral:rRNA from 1 species